UACGUAGGGUGCAAGCGUUGUCCGGAAUUAUUGGGCGUAAAGAGCUCGUAGGCGGUCUGUCGCGUCGGCUGUGAAAACCUGCAGCUCAACUGCAGGCUUGCAUUCGAUACGGGCAGGCUCGAGUUCGGUAGGGGAGACUGGAAUUCCUGGUGUAGCGGUGAAAUGCGCAGAUAUCAGGAGGAACACCGGUGGCGAAGGCGGGUCUCUGGGCCGAUACUGACGCUGAGGAGCGAAAGCGUGGGGAGCGAACAGG
rnacentral:rRNA from 1 species